rnacentral:rRNA from 1 species
UACGUAGGGGGGCAAGCGUUGUCCGGAAUUAUUGGGGCGUAAAGCGCGCGCAGGCGGUUGAUUAAGUUUGGUGUUUAAGCCCGGGGCUCAACCCCGGUUCGCACUGAAAACUGAUCGACUUGAGUGUAGGAGAGGAAAGUGGAAUUCCACGUGUAGCGGUGAAAUGCGUAGAGAUGUGGAGGAACACCAGUGGCGAAGGCGACUUUCUGGCCUAGUAACUGACGCUGAGGCGCGAAAGCGUGGGGAGCAAAC